rnacentral:rRNA from 1 species
CGAGUCAUCAGCUCGCGUUGACUACGUCCCUGCCCUUUGUACACACCGCCCGUCGCUCCUACCGAUUGAAUGGUCCGGUGAAGUGUUCGGAUCGCGGCGACGGGGGCGGUUCGCCGCCCCCGACGUCGCGAGAAGUCCAUUGAACCUUAUCAUUUAGAGGAAGGAGAAGUCGUAACAAGGUUUCCGUAGGUGAACCUGCGGAAGGAUCAUUG